GCUCCAAUAGCGUAUAUUUAAGUUGUUGCAGUUAAAAAGCUCGUAGUUGGACUUUGGGAUGGGCCGGCCGGUCCGCCUAGGUGUGCACCGGUCGUCUCGUCCUUCUGUCGGCGAUGCGCUCCUGGCCUUAAUUGGCCGGGUCGUGCCUCCGGCGCUGUUACUUUGAAGAAAUUAGAGUGCUCAAAGCAAGCCUACGCUCU
rnacentral:rRNA from 1 species